GCGCCAAUGGUCUAGAGGUUAGGAUCCUCGCCUUCCAAGCGAGGGGCCCGCGUUCGAUUCGCGGUUGGCGCA